AUUGAACGCUGGCGGCAGGCCUAACACAUGCAAGUCGAACGAGUGGCGGACGGGUGAGUAAUGUCUGGGAAACUGCCCGAUGGAGGGGGAUAACUACUGGAAACGGUAGCUAAUACCGCAUACCAUCGGAUGUGCCCAGAUGGGAUUAGCUUGUAGGUGAGGUAACGGCUCACCUAGGCGACGAUCCCUAGCUGGUCUGAGAGGAUGACCAGACAAACUGGAACUGUGACAAGGGGAAGACUCCUACGGGGGGCAGCAGUGGGGAAUAUUGAACAAUGGGCGCAAGCCUGAUGCAGCCAUGCGGGGUGUAUGAAGAAGGCCUUAGGGUUGUAAAGUACUGUCAGCGGGGAGGCGUUACCCGCAGAAGAAGCACCGGCUAACUCCGUGCCAGCAGCCGCGGUAAUAC
rnacentral:rRNA from 1 species